CGCGUAGGCGGGCCACCAAGUCAGGGGUGAAAUCUUUCGGCUCAACCGGAAAAGUGCCUUUGAUACUGGUGGUCUCGAGGGAGGUAGGGGCAUGCGGAACUUCCGGUGGAGCGGUGAAAUGCGUAGAUAUCGGAAGGAACGCCGGUGGCGAAAGCGGCGUGCUGGACCUCUUCUGACGCUGAGGCGCGAAAGCUAGGGGAGCAAACGGGAUUAGAUACCCCGGUAGUCCUAGCCCUAAACGAUGAGCACUAGAUUGUAGAUCGACAUGGGUUUACAGUCGAAGCAAAAGUGUUAAGUGCUCCGCCUGGGGAGUAUGGUCGCAAGGCUGAA
rnacentral:rRNA from 1 species